ACGGCCAUUGCCAAUGGAUCACACCGGUUCUCUGGUUAGAUCACCGAAGUCAAGCAUCAUUGGGCGCGGUCAGUACUUGGGUGGGUGACCACCUGGGAACACCGCGGGCCGU